rnacentral:rRNA from 1 species
UUGCCAGACUCCUACGGGAGGCAGCAGUGGGGGAUAUUGCACAAUGGGGGGAACCCUGAUGCAGCGACGCCGCGUGGGUGAAGGAGCGUUUCGGCGCGUAAAGCCCUAUCGGCAGGGAAGAAGGAGGACGGUACCUGACUAAGAAGCCCCGGCUAACUACGUGCCAGCAGCCGCGGUAAUACGUAGGGGGCAAGCGUUAUCCGGAUUUACUGGGUGUAAAGGGAGCGUAGACGGCGAUGCAAGUCUGAAGUGAAAGGCGGGGGCCCAACCCCCGGACUGCUUUGGAAACUGUAUAGCUGGAGUGCAGGAGAGGUAAGUGGAAUUCCUAGUGUAGCGGUGAAAUGCGUAGAUAUUAGGAGGAACACCAGUGGCGAAGGCGGCUUACUGGACUGUAACUGACGUUGAGGCUCGAGAGCGUGGGGAGCAAACAGGAUUAGAUACCCCAGUAC